rnacentral:rRNA from 1 species
GGUUCAUUCAAAUUUCUGCCCUAUCAACUUUCGACGGCUGGGUCUUGGCAGCCAUGGUGACAACGGGUAACGGAGGGUUAGGGCUCGACCCCUGAGAAGGAGCCUGAGAAACGGCUACUACAUCCAAGGAAGGCAGCAGGCGCGCAAAUUACCCAAUCCCGACCGGGGAGGUAGUGACAAUAAAUACUGAUACAGGGCUCUUUUGGGUCUUGUAAUUGGAAUGAGUACAAUUUAAAUCCCUUAACGAGGAACAAUUGGAGGGCAAGUCUGGUGCCAGCAGCCGCGGUAAUUCCAGCUCCAAUAGCGUAUAUUACAGUUGUGAGGUUAAAAAGCUCGUAGUUG